AGUUAAUAAAUAUUAAGGUCUGUAAAACCUAAAUAGAAAUACAAUUUCGUUAACUA
rnacentral:tRNA from 1 species